ensembl:miRNA
GUGCUUCCUGCGGGCUGAGCGCGCGCUGAGCGCUGCCAGUCAGCGCUCACAUUAAGGCUGACAGCGCCCUGCCCGGCGCGGCCGGCGAGGCUC